AUUAAGUUAGUUUAAUAUAAAAUAUCAGCUUGUGGAUCUGAAGAUAAAAAUAGUUUUACUUAAUC
rnacentral:tRNA from 1 species